ensembl:misc_RNA
GGAAAGACAGGUUUAUUGUUUCCCAGACAUUGUCGAGAGGGGUCACACAAACUUAGACAUUUCUUCCUUUGAUGUCCACUUGACAUGGCUGUGUGAGAAAGUGAGAUGUCUCUGAGGUGGCUACCAGAUCCCUUUAUGGAUUUCUGUGAUGUCAUUCAUUGAUCCCUCUACACUGGGCAACUCUUUGGAACAUCACCACAUUCUUCCGAUUCUACUGGAGGUCCACUGGUCAUUUAGGGAGAAUCUUCUGAGCUACAGCAAA